GGCCCAAUGGUCUAGAGGUAAGAUACUUGCUUUGGGUUGUUACCGAUUGCAAGGGAUCCCGGGUUCGAAUCCCGGUUGAGCCC
rnacentral:tRNA from 1 species